rnacentral:rRNA from 1 species
GGUGCUUGCACCGGGGUGGAUGAGUGGCGAACGGGUGAGUAACACGUGAGUAACCUGCCCCUGACUUCGGGAUAAGCCCGGGAAACUGGGUCUAAUACCGGAUAUGACCGUUCCUCGCAUGAGGGAUGGUGGAAAGUUUUUUCGGUUGGGGAUGGGCUCGCGGCCUAUCAGCUAGAUGGUGGGGUAAUGGCCCACCAUGGCGACGACGGGUAGCCGGCCUGAGAGGGCGACCGGCCACACUGGGACUGAGACACGGCCCAGACUCCUACGGGAGGCAGCAGUGGGGAAUAUUGCACAAUGGGGGAAACCCUGAUGCAGCGACGCAGCGUGCGGGAUGACGGCCUUCGGGUUGUAAACCGCUUUCAGCAGGGAAGAAGCCCCUCUGGGUGACGGUACCUGCAGAAGAAGUACCGGCUAACUACUUGCCACCAGCCGCGGUAAUACUUAGGGUACGAGCGUUGUCCGGAAUUAUUGGGCGUAAAGAGCUCGUAGGUGGUUGGUCACGUCUGCUGUGGAAACGCAACGCUUAACGUUGCGCGUGCAGUGGGUACGGGCUGACUACAGUGCAGUAGGAGAGUCUGGAAUUCCUGGUGUAGCGGUGAAAUGCUCAGAUAUCAUGAGGAACACCGGUGGCGAAGGCGGGACUCUGGUCUGUUACUGACACUGAUGAGCGAAAGCAUGGUGAGCGAACAAGAUUAUAUACCCUGGUAGUCCAUGCCGUAAACGAUGGGCACUACGUGUGGGGGACAUUCCACGUUCUCCCUCGCCGUAGCUAACGCAUUAAGUGCCCCGCCUGGGGAGUACGGUCGCAAGGCUAAAACUCAAAGGAAUUGACGGGGGCCCGCAACAAGCGGCGGAGCAUGCGGAUUAAUUCGAUGCAACGCGAAGAACCUUACCAAGGCUUGACAUACACCAGACCGGGCUGGAAACAGUCCUUUCCCCUUUGGGGUUGGUGUACAGGUGGUGCAUGGUUGUCGUCAGCUCGUGUCGUGAGAUGUUGGGUUAAGUCCCGCAACGAGCGCAACCCUCGUUCUAUGUUGCCAGCACGUGAUGGUGGGAACUCAUAGGAGACUGCCGGGGUCAACUCGGAGGAAGGUGGGGAUGACGUCAAAUCAUCAUGCCCUUUAUGUCUUGGGCUUCACGCAUGCUACAAUGGCUGGUACAGAGAGAUGCGAGACCGUGAGGUUUUAGCGAAUCCCUUAAAGCCAGUCUCAGUUCGGAUCGUAGUCUGCAAUUCGACUACGUGAAGUCGGAGUCGCUAGUAAUCGCAGAUCAGCAACGCUGCGGUGAAUACGUUCCCGGGCCUUGUACACACCGCCCGUCAAGUCACGAAAGUCGGUAACACCCGAAGCCGGUGGCCCAACCCCCUUGUGGGGAGGGGGCCGUCUAAGGUGGGACUGGCAAUUGGG